GGUUCGGUGGUGUAGUGGUUAUCACGUCUGUCUCACAUCUGGCAUUAACUUCUCUUUAUGUGGAUGUACACAGGAGGUCCCCGGUUCGAGACCGGGUCGAACCA